GUGGGGAAUAUUGGACAAUGGGCGCAAGCCUGAUCCAGCAAUGCCGCGUGGGUGAAGAAGGUCUUCGGAUUGUAAAGCCCUUUCGGUGGGGACGAUGAUGACGGUACCCGCAGAAGAAGCCCCGGCUAACUUCGUGCCAGCAGCCGCGGUAAUACGAAGGGGGCUAGCGUUGCUCGGAGUUACUGGGCGUAAAGGGCGCGUAGGCGGCCUUGUCAGUCAGGCGUGAAAUUCCUGGGCUCAACCUGGGGGCUGCGCUUGAUACGGCAGGGCUAGAGGACGGAAGAGGCUCGUGGAAUUCCCAGUGUAGAGGUGAAAUUCGUAGAUAUUGGGAAGAACACCGGUGGCGAAGGCGGCGAGCUGGUCCGUUACUGACGCUGAGGCGCGACAGCGUGGGGAGCAAACAGGAUUAGAAACCCGGGUAGUCC
rnacentral:rRNA from 1 species